UACAGAGGUCCCAAGCGUUGUUCGGAUUCACUGGGCGUAAAGGGUGCGUAGGUGGCGAGGUAAGUCGGAUGUGAAAGCUCGGAGCUCAACUCCGAAAUGGCAUUGGAAACUACCUUGCUCGAGGGUUGGAGGGGGACUGGAAUGCUUGGUGUAGCAGUGAAAUGCGUAGAUAUCGGGAGGAACACCGGUGGCGAAGGCGGUUCUCUGGGCCUUACCGACGCUGAGGAGCGAAAGCGUGGGGAGCGAACAGG
rnacentral:rRNA from 1 species